AUCAGAGAAACAGCCCCAAAGUAUGACUUCCUCUUUAUUUUCAAAUCCAACCGUUGACAGUAUGAGUGGAGCUGAUCAAAUAAUCAUUUUCCUUUCUGUAUGUGUGAUUGACAGGUGAUCAACCCCACCUGAUUGGCUCAUGUUUCUCUGAAGAGGACAACCUGAAUGUUACUCACCUCCAACAUCAAUGAAGUGCUUAGCUGCUAGUCCUGAUCUUGGUGCUGAGAGGGAAAUAUAGCAAAGAAACCGGAGUACCAGGAGAAAACCCACGCACACAUGGAGAGAACAUGCAAACUCCACACAGAGAUGGCCGAGGGUGGAAUUGAACCCAGCGUCAGCUGACCUAGACAGUAAUGUCAGCAUUUUUCCGGACUCUGAUUGGCUGAACAGAGCAAAACAAGUUGUGCGACACCCACAAUGGCUGACUCCGUAGGACAAAUUGACAUCACUGAUAGAGACAGAGCAUUGCUGACGGCACUGACGAAUGUCACCGCCUGAGUUGAUGAACCCCAGUUCACAUCUGGGAAGAACAUAAGAGAUGUGGUUAACUGGUUAGAAACCUGCUGUGUUAUGAAGACAUGGUGACUCUUCUUGCCGGGUCAGAACAAAGUGACACUCGCUUGUAUAAAUCAAAGGCAGCCUGUCAUGAGGCAAAAUAACCUACCAGGACUCCCCUUAUCCAGCCGAACUUUACUGCUCCUUUGUCGCUGUUUAGGGGAACAGCCGACUCCACAUCAUCAGAGGGGGUGCCGUCGCUCCCCUCGCCAUCGUCCUCCACAGUGUCUGGCACAGAGAUGGCCCCAUUCUGUUUGUAAAGUGUCCUUUGGAUGAAUCAGAGGAAUAUAUCCACAUGGACGUUCCCAUUGAGGAAGCUCACAUAACAAAGCAUCAUACUGAAAGUCUUGACUCGAAGUGAAGAAAUGGCCAUAAAAUGAGAGUUAAUGUGAGACCAUGAAUUACAGGAACAUGCCCAAGGCACUUCUCUGCAGCCACAUGACUCCUGAACUACUUUUUUUUAAAGACUUUUAACAGAUUGAAAGGAAGCGAUCCCUUCCUCACUUAUCAGAGCCAGAACAUCGUGGCCAGUUGUAACAGUUGUCUUUCGGAAUUCUACAGAGUGAGUCAUACUGGGGUGAGAAAAUUUUCCACAAUUGCAUCCAGGCCAAUACUUCUUAUCUUAGAAUAAUGCCAAAAGGAAACACAAAACUUGAGUUUGUAAUAACAUAAUAACUUUGUCAGACUUAAAACUUUGAUUGUUUAGAAAGCAAACGCUGCAGUGUGUUUAUUUGUUGCUGUCUUUGGUCUGGACAUAAACAUCCUUCAUAUUGCACCACUACUCAACUUUUGUCCGACUUAAUUUACAGUCUGCAGGUCACCUCAAAGAGUGUACAGCCCAUUUCGUCCUUAGCAGUAGGUGCAAACACUCCAAAUUCUAUGGACAGCAAGAGGGCAGGCGGGAAAUCUUCAUUAUAUUGUCCAACA